GCUUACCAUGCAGUCGAACGAUGAAGCCGCUUCGGUGGUGGAUUAGUGGCGAACGGGUGAGUAACACGUGGGCAAUCUGCCCUGCACUCUGGGACAAGCCCUGGAAACGGGGUCUAAUACCGGAUAUGACACACGGGGGCAUCUUCUGUGUGUGGAAAGCUCCGGCGGUGCAGGAUGAGCCCGCGGCCUAUCAGCUUGUUGGUGGGGUGAUGGCCUACCAAGGCGACGACGGGUAGCCGGCCUGAGAGGGCGACCGGCCACACUGGGACUGAGACACGGCCCAGACUCCUACGGGAGGCAGCAGUGGGGAAUAUUGCACAAUGGGCGCAAGCCUGAUGCAGCGACGCCGCGUGAGGGAUGACGGCCUUCGGGUUGUAAACCUCUUUCAGCAGGGAAGAAGCCUUCGCGGGAGACGGCCCGUGCAAAAAACACCCCGUAUAUCUACGUGCCCACCCCCGCGGAUAUACAUGGGGCGAGAGCGUUGCCCAGAUUUAGUGGGCGUAAAGAUCUCAUACGCGGUGUGUCGCCUCAUAUGAGAAACCCCGGCUUAUAACCGUGGCUCUGUUUUCUAUACGGGCGCGAUAGAUCUCUAUGGGAGAUAUCAAAACCUGUGGUGUCGCGGAGAUGUGCACAUAUCUCGAGAAGCACAGCGGUGGAGAGCGCAUAUCUGGGGCCUACAGUGACUCUGAAGAGCGAACGCGUGGAGAGAGAACGAGAAUAUAUACUGUGGGACUACACGGCAUACACGGUGAAAUCUGUGUGUGUCUCAUUCCCGCGUUGUGUGCCCGCAUCUCACAUUUAUUUCCG
rnacentral:rRNA from 1 species